UACGAAGGGGGCUAGCGUUGCUCGGAAUCACUGGGCGUAAAGCGCGCGUAGGCGGAUUGCUAAGUCAGGGGUGAAAUCCUGGAGCUCAACUCCAGAACUGCCUUUGAUACUGGCGAUCUUGAGUCCGGGAGAGGUGAGUGGAACUCCGAGUGUAGAGGUGAAAUUCGUAGAUAUUCGGAAGAACACCAGUGGCGAAGGCGGCUCACUGGCCCCGGUACUGACGCUGAUGUGCGAAAAGCGUGGGGGAGCAAACAGG
rnacentral:rRNA from 1 species